rnacentral:rRNA from 1 species
GAUGAACGCUGGCGGCGUGCUUAAUACAUGCAAGUCGAGCGAACGGACUACUAGCUUGCUUCUUUGAUGUUAGCGGCGGACGGGUGAGUAACACGUGGAUAACCUACCUAUAAUACUGGUAUAACUUCGGGAAACCGUAGCUAAUACCGUAUAAUAUUUUUAACCGCAUGGUUCAAAAAUGAAAUACGGUCUUGCUUUCACUUAUAGAUGGAUCCGCUCUUCAUUAGCUAGUUGGUUAGGUAACCGCUUACCAAGGCAACGAUGAAUAGCCUAGCUGAGAGGGUGAUCGGCCACAGUGAAACUGAGAGACGGUCUAGACUCCUACGGAAGGCAGAAGUAGGGACUCUAGCGAACUGGGGGAAAGAGUGACGGAGCAACGCAGGGUGAGUGAUGAGGCUCUUCGGAUGGUAAAACGCUGUUAUUAGGGAAAAACAUAUGCGUAAGUGACGGUGCACAUGUUAAGGGUACCUAAUAAGAAAGCCCCGGCUAACUAGGU